UAUUGUUUUGAGCAAAUAAUCAUGAACUUAGAAUUUUAUCACCUUUUCUUUUAACAACAUUCAAUAAACGUUUGGGAACUGAGGACACUAAUUGUUGAAUCUUUGUAGGUGGAAUUCUUUCCCAUUCUUGCUUGAUGUACAGCUUCAGCCGUUCAACAGUCCGGGGUCUCCGUUGUCGUACUUUACGCUUCAUAAUGCGCCACACAUUUUCAAUGGGAGACAGGCCUGGACUGCAGGCAGGCCAGUCUAUUACCCGCACUCUUUUACUACAAAGCCAGCUUUUCGGAUUGUGCAGGUUUGCCCAUUGUUGGUGAUGGUGAGUGUACAGUGUAUAUAUACACAUUACAUACUGUUCACACAUCUCUCCCCCGCGUGCACACACACUAAUGUGUGAUGCAGGGCAGCGGAAAGCAGGAAAAGGCAGGUGGUAAAAUCGCAUAUCGAGCCGGCGUGUGGUGCAUCUUUUGAAAUGGUGUCACGGCUGCUAUUCUCUCAAGCAUCUACACACACACACAUAUACACUGUUGUAACACUUGUGCUGUUUCACCGCUGCCCUUCACUCUCUCCUCCUUGCCUAUGGAGUUUCAUUUCUUUGUCUUCAUCAUUUCUGGGCUCUGAAUGAGCACUUCUCAGCGUCUCACUUAGUUUGCACUCCAACCUUUCCUGAGUAACUUCGUUGUAAAGAGUUAAAACCAGAAUGCUUUGUUUCUCCAAUAACUAGGGGGCCAUUGACACAAUGAUGACUUUUCUGCACUUUAGACACCCCUCUACUACUUACAGUAUUUGUCUUCGUGUCUUUACAUGCCAUAUCCAACUGCCUUGCAUGCGUAUUGCAACAUUUACAUCUUUUAUUCACUUUGUGCAAAAGGGGUUUUUGUCUGUCACCUGUACUGAAACUUUAAAACCCAAAGAUAAAGCUUGCCUGUUUGACUUGAUUACAGUAGAAUCUCUGCUUAGUUCCUGCUACUGCAUUUUUCCUUUUUCAUGCUUUUCCCGAGCACUGUCUGUCUCUCCACUUUGAAGGAGCCAUGUUAUUGUUAUGAUCAUUGUCUCUAACUGGAUCUGUUACCAUUAGACCUGAAUCCCUUUCCUUUUGUGGCCCUUAGUCUCUCUAACCCAAUAGAAAACCCAUGGGCACUAUUGUAAAUGGCUCACUGGCCAUUCACUAUCUCACACAGAGGCACAAACGCAGAUUUCAUUCUGAAGAUUCAUUGGUCUGCCCCCAUCUCCACUCAAAUUGGGACACAUGCACUUACAUAUACACAUUUUCGUGUUCACAAUGGAGCUCAUCAUUUUUCGUUGUUCACACACACACACACACACUUUCCCUCGUUGAAAAUCAUUUGUUAUUGGAGCUGAGAAAGUAAAUGGUAAUACUAUAGGGAGGUGUGCGUGCGUGCGUGUUGACGUGACUAACGGCUAUGCCUGGAUAUCAUUAUGGUUGGAUGUAUGACUCGGACUGAGGACAAGAGCGUAAAUGUCAUUCUAUCAAUGAGGUUAGCUCUAAUAUAUGGACAGUUGAAGUCCUGGUUUCCAUUUACUCUGCUCUCUGCCGAGUCCCUGCGCCGCCUUUGCAGUCAAUGGCUGAAGGCUGUAAUACAAGUGAUGCAUUGUUUUGUUUCUUUACGGCGACAGCAUCCCAUUCGUUUUCCCUAUCUUGUAUGGAUAGGAAACAAGAAACCGUUUACAGUGACCGAAGACAUGGACUAUUUUUUUUUUAAACAUUUUAAUCCUCUCUUACGCACAGUGCCAGUGUGUUAAGCAAUUGUGGUUUUUCAAAUGUCUGCCUUUAUAAUGCAUCUCUAUGAUUUAAAAAUAAAUAAAUAAAAAAUGAUUUUCAAUUAGGUUUUUAAAAAAAUAUAUAUUUAAUUUGACAUCCACAGCCUCUUGGAUCCCAUCCUAGUACUUCAUACAAUGUAAAACUACACCAGGUUACUAUCCAAAUGACAGUUGAUACUUAAGAUUGUACAAUACUCCUUUGGAACAAAUCUUUAGCUACAUUUACCCAAGUCUUUUGUAUCAUUACUAUGAUACGUACUGUCACAUGACCUGCUGCUGGUGACCAGGUCAGACCAGGGUGUACCCCACCUCUCACUGAAAGACAUAUCCCCCUAAAUUUCACUUUAAGAACCAAACAAUUUUACUGUUAUCGCUAUUUGAAUUAUUGGCAGUUGUUAUCAUUGAAGAGUUGCUAAAUAUUUCGAUUGCGAUUAUAAUUCACAGUGGUGAGCGGCCACUUUUCAGUGAACCUCAAAGAAGCGCGAUAAACGGUAUCAAUCAUUUCAAAUCAUUGAACAGCAGCAUUUAUGUUCAAAAGAUCUCCAUAAUCCAGCAGAGAUUUUUAUUGACACUGGGAAUCAUUUGAGGCCGCUUUUUACAGUUAGAAAACAGCACAACCUUUGACCGUCGAUCUCUAGUUUGCUUUCACCUUGACAUUUGACAUCAGCUAUGAGGAGCGUGCCCGAUACUUGGAAACCAUUGUGCAGCACCAUCAGGAGCC